CCUACGGGGGGCUGCAGUAAGGAAUAUUGGUCAAUGGACGCAAGUCUGAACCAGCCAUGCCGCGUGGAGGAUGAAGGUCCUCUGGAUUGUAAACUUCUUUUAUUUGGGAAGAAACUCCCGAUUUCCAUCGGGAUUGACGGUACCAGAUGAAUAAGCACCGGCUAACUCCGUGCCAGCAGCCGCGGUAAGACGGAGGGUGCAAGCGUCAUUGGGGUUCACGGGUUUUAAGGGGUGCGGGGGUGUCCGGGUAGAAAUCUCCGGGCUUAACCCGGAAACUGCCAUUGAUACUAUUUGUCUUGAAUACUCUGGAGGUGAGCGGAAUAUGUCAUGUAGCGGUGAAAUGCUUAGAUAUGACAUAGAACACCCAUUGCGAAGGCAGCUCACUACGGAAAUAUUGACGCUGAGGCACGAAAGCGUGGGGAUCAAACAGGAUUAGAUACCCGAGUAGUC
rnacentral:rRNA from 1 species